rnacentral:rRNA from 1 species
UACGUAGGGUGCGAGCGUUGUCCGGAAUUAUUGGGCGUAAAGGGCUCGUAGGCGGUUUGUCGCGUCGGGAGUGAAAACCCAGGGCUUAACUCUGGGCUUGCUUUCGAUACGGGCAGACUAGAGGUAUGCAGGGGAGAACGGAAUUCCUGGUGUAGCGGUGAAAUGCGCAGAUAUCAGGAGGAACACCGGUGGCGAAGGCGGAUCUCUGGGCCUUACCUGACGCUGAGGCGCGAAAGCUAGGGGAGCAAACAGG